CAUUUCUUCACCGACAUGUUUCUCAUCAUUAUCUUGGUUGUUUGACACAGGGCUCUCUUUGUAGUCCAGGCUGGCCUUGAACUAUCCCUUCCUGCUUUAGCCUCCCAAGUAUUAGGAUGAUAGCUGUGUGUAACCAUACCAGCCUUCUUUCAUUAUUUUGCCCAUAGCCAUCUUCAUAGUUCUGCGUUGGUUCUGGAUGUUACUUCCUACCUGGCUUUGGGACAUUGUCUCCUGUUCUGGCUGCCUUCGCACUCUAUCAAUGAUGUCUUACUCUGCAGGAUUUGCGCUGUGGGCUUAUCGUUUACUGGGGUUGCUGAAGUUUAAAAGGAAAACGGGCAAUAACGUGUCUGAGUCAACUCUUCUUGAAGAUGACAUCUCAUUCUGUCUUGCUAUUUAGGCCUGAGUGUCAACUUGUCAAGACCACGACUAUUGGAAAACUGUUUGAUGGCUGAAACUCUGUGGUGGAGCCCUGCUGUGCUGUAUCACAAAGUCACUUGAAAACCUAAAAUUCAAGUUCAAUAAAACAUUGAUAUUUU
rnacentral:sRNA from 1 species